rnacentral:tRNA from 1 species
GGAGAGAUGGCCCAGUGGUUAAGGCACUGGAUGCUCUUCUAGAGGACCUGGGUUUGAUUCCCAAUAUCUACA